rnacentral:rRNA from 1 species
AUGGACGCGGAGCAGCUCCUAACGUACAUCUACACCUGCCUCCCCGAGCCGCCAGUCUACGACACCGCUCGCCUCGCCGCCCGCCGUGCCGCCCCCUACCACGGCGUCGACCGCAUCAGCGGCCUCUCCGACGCGCUCCUCCACGACAUCGUCUCCCGCCUCCCCUUCAAGGACGCCGCGCGCACCGCCGUACUCGCCACGCGCUGGCGCCGGGUCUGGCUCUCGGCCCCGCUCGUCGUCGUCGACACCCACCACCUGGACCACUGGCCCCCGACUCGCGCCGACGCGCCGGCCGUCACCGCCGCGGUGUCGCGCGCCCUCGCCGCGCACCCCGGGCCCUUCCGCUGCGUCCACCUCGUCUCCAGCCACAUGGACGGGUACCCGGCCCAGCUCAAGCGCUGGCUCCGUCUCCUCGCCGCCAAGGGAGUCCAGGAGCUCGUCCUCGUCAACCGCCCCUGCCCGCGCCAGGUGCCUCUCCCCGGCACACUCUUCCGCGUGGCCACCCUCACCCGCCUCUACGUCGGCGUCUGGAAGUUCCCGGACGCGGCCUGCCUCGGCGACGCCUCCUUCCCCAACCUCCGCGAGCUCGGCAUCUUCAGCGUCGCCAUGGAGAAAGGGGACAUCGAAGCCGUCGUCGCCAGGAGCCCCGUUCUCGAGAUCCUCAACAUUCAAGGGAGCGUCAAGGGGUUGGGUCUCCACCUCAUCAGCCAGAGCCUCCGAUGCGUGCAGAUCUGCGAUUCCGUGAUGGAGAACAUCGUCGUGGUGGACACCCCGCGUCUCGAGCGGCUCAUCCUGUACAAGGUCCGGGGAUCUCUCAACCCUGCCAGUGUCCUGCGGACCGGGAUCAAGAUUGGCAAUGCCCCCAAGCUGGAAAUGUUCGGGUAUCUGGAGCCAGGAAAGUACGUGCUUCAGGCCGGAGACACCAUCAUCAUGCCCGGGAUGAAGCCAAGCGCAAGCACUAUGUUUACGAGCGUGACUAUCCUGAGCCUGAAUGUCCGUUUUGGAGUCCACGAUGAUGCCAAUAUGGUGGCUACCUUCCUAAAGUGCUUUCCCAACGCAUCGAGUCUGCAUAUCAGGUGUGAACAAUGUGAUGAACCCGCUGGGAAGCUCGUACUUAAGUUCUGGGAGGAGGUUGGUCCCAUCGUGAGUGUCAUGUUGCGCAUAGGGGUGAUGACUAUCCGUGAAUUCCGAGGGGAGGAGGGCGAGAUGGCUUUUCUCAAGUACUUCUUCACGAACGCGAGGGAGCUGAAGUAUGCGGCGAUAAUCUUCCCCAAUCCAAGCUUCUCUUCAAUUUCAAAGAACGAUGCAUGCUCCAAAGCAAACUAUCUGACCUCUCUGAACUGGGCCACUCAAGGCUGCGGAUUCAUGGUGUAUGGGAGUUCAGAUCCUGAAGGAGGCAGACCGUGGUGCUUCAAGACCGGAGCAAUUUUUUCGCGUGACCCUUUCUCGUGGUGA